CUCAGGGACAGACAGAAUUCCUUGAACUAGCUACAAAGAUACGCAGUCACAGGAGUGUCCCCUUCUCUCCAGAUAGAGAAGCCAUUGAGAACAGGAUGUGCUGCAUUCUUUGGGUACACCAUGAACAAAAAGGUUAUACUGUGAACUUAAUGGACCUAAACAUUAACUGGUAAUUGAGAAGAGGGCUAGGCAUACCAAGGAUGCUCAGUCCAAGUUCUCAGGGCCUUUAAUAUAUACAAGAAUGAUAAAAAUAGGGGAGGGGGAAGUGGUAAAGGAGAAAAACAUGCAAACUGCGAGUAGAUAAGUGUCACCUCAAAACUUAUGGUCAAGACCAAAUAGCAUUCAAUAAAAUUGAAAUGUUGGGCUGGGGAUGUGGCUCAAGCAGUAGCGCACUCGCCUGGCAUGCGUGCCGCCCGGGUUCGAUCCUCAGCACCACAUACAAAGAUGUUGUGUCCGCCGAAAACUAAAAAAUAAAUAUUAAAAUUCUCUCUCUCUCUCUCUCUCUCUCUCUCUCUCUCUCUCUCUCUCUCUCUUUAAAAAAAAUUGAAAUGUUAUUUUGUGCUUAAGGAAUAAAGUUGAACAAAAGGUCAAAAGACGGAAAAUAAAUUUAUCUGGGACUUGAACAGUCUAAGCAACAGAUUCUAUGUUGUCAUUUGAGAUAACACUUGCCAGAUUAUAUUAAGGUUCACUAAAAGUUGUUCUCCAAGUUGACAAAGUAACCAAGUCUUUUUUCUAGGCUUUUCUUUCUUUUCUUUUGUUUUUGUUCAUUUGUUUUACCUGCAGACUUUUGAUGGCUGGAUUGAGAAGAUAGUAAAUAAGAAAACAUGUAUAAAAUCAGAUAAUUCUGGCUCCCUUUGGGUGUCAUUGCUAAUGGGUGAUAAACAAUUCAGGCCUUCUCUUUCUCCAUUUGGAAAACAUUGACUUGGUAUUAGUUUGCCAGUGCUGCCAUAACACAGUACCACAGACUAGGUGGCUUCAGCAGUGGAGAGUUAUUUUCAUAGAGUUCUGAAGACUAGAAUCUUGAGACCAAGGGGUGAGCAAAGUUGGUUUCUCUUAAGGAAUUCCUCUAUGGCUUUUAGAAAGCCAUCUUGUCCUAAUGUCAUCUUAAAAAGACAUCAGCCAUAUCCAACUAAGGCCACUAUAGCUCUUUUAAACUUAAUUGCCUCUUUAAAGGGAUCUCUAAAUACAGCCACAUUCUGAGGACUGGGGAUUAGGAAUAUAAAUUUGGGGGUGGGGAAAACAAAUUCAUCCCAUAACAGUCUUUGAGGAAGUAGAGACAAGAUGAAAAUUUUUAGAGGGAUCUUUAAUCCACUUCACAUUCUCCCAUACCCUGAGGACUCUGUGGAGGACAAAGAUUCCCAGCUUCUCCUGUGGCCAGGGAUGAUUCUUAAUUUGAAAAUCCAUAGUUGGGUCUAGGAUUUGGCCUCGGGGUUCUUUGUGGAAAGUCAAGCAAUGAUCAGAGGGAAUUUACAGCAGUGUUUCCUCUCUCUUCUAUGUCAAAACUAUAGUUUCUAAGUGGACAUUAUAACUGCUCUCACACACAUACUAGUACAGCUGUAUUUUGGAGGUGUCAAUAUCAUUUAAUUACAAAAUACAAAAUAUUUACACUUUUUAUCUCAAUUUUCUAAAAUGUGAUGCACAUGCCAUUGGCAAUACCUGAGACAUUAUUGUGUGGCACAUAAGCAGAGUGUUAAGUAGCAUUAAAUCAAAUAGUGAGGAAGUUAUUUCCUUGCACUAUUUUUAGUUCUUUUGGUUAAACCAAAAAGAAUGUGUCAUAUUGGAAUUAAUAUCCCUUAAACACUUGACAGAGAGCAGACCUUAGGUCAGAGACUUUAGCAAACAAAAAUAUUCAUCUAGAGCCUAAUAGCAUUGUUUAGUCUCUGUUAUAGUUA
rnacentral:lncRNA from 1 species